rnacentral:rRNA from 1 species
GUAGUCUCGCACAGAUGCAUAUCAAUAAGCGGAGGAAAAGAAACUAACAAGGAUUCCCCUAGUAACGGCGAGUGAAGCGGGAAGAGCUCAAAUUUGAAAUCUUAAAGGGUUUCCCUUUACGAAUUGUAGUUUAGAGAAGUGUUUUCUGUUGAGGUUUUGGUAGAAGUUCUUGGAAUAGGACAUCAUAGAGGGUGAGAAUCCCGUAUUUGACCUUUACUUUCAACUUUGUGAUACACUUUCAAAGAGUCGGAUUGUUUGGGAAUGCAGUCCAAAAUGGGUGGUAAAUUUCAUCUAAAGCUAAAUAUUGGCGAGAGACCGAUAGCGAACAAGUACCGUGAGGGAAAGAUGAAAAGAACUUUGAAAAGAGAGUUAAACAGUACGUGAAAUUGUCAAAAGGGAAGCGUUUGACACCAGUGUUGUUUUUCUGAAAAUCAAUUAAAGAACUGUUUAUGCUAAGCUGUUUAGACUUUAUCAGCUAUCUGUUUAGUUUUGAGCUUUUCUUUAAUGCACUUUUCAGUUAACAAGUCAACAUCAAUUUCUUUUGCUGUAAAAAAGCUUGAGGAAGGUGGCUUGAGAUUCGUCUUAAGUGUUUAUAGCCUCUUGCCUAUGCAGUCGGAGAGAUUGAGGUCUGCAGCGUAGAUCCUUCGGGGCUAAAUGCAUUUGUGCUAAGUUAUAGCAUUUUAUAGACAACUUGUUGACUAUGAUUUGUCUUGUAGCUUACUCGCUUAUGUUAUUUUACCUACGCUUAGGAUGUUGAUCUGUAGUGCGUGCGC